CAGAAAAGUGUCCCAUGCACAGCCUUCAUGCUCAAGAAUGCAAAUGUUCUGCCAGUAUUUUCUGAUAACAUGCUGCAUCCAUCUUGCCAUGAAUUUUCACAAGAUUCCUCGUGCCUUUUCGCUAAAGGCCUUGUUGAUUCCUCUCCAAACAUAACGCUUAUGGUUGUGACCAUAAAGCUCUAUUUUGGUUUCGACACUCCAAAUUACAGUGUGCCAGAAGUUGUGAGGCUUCUCAAGGUGUUGUCGGGCAUAUUGUAACUAGGCUUUUUUGUGGCAUUGGCGCAGUAAAGGAUUCUUUCUGGCAACUCGAUCAUGCAGCUCAUUUCUGUUCAGGUAUCGUUGUAUUGUGCUCCUUGAAACAACCACACCAUUUUUUUCCAGAGCAGCCUGUAUUUUAU